rnacentral:rRNA from 1 species
AAAUUGAAGAGUUUGAUCAUGGCUCAGAUUGAACGCUGGCGGCAGGCCUAACACAUGCAAGUCGAACGGUAACAGGAAGCAGCUUGCUGCUUUGCUGACGAGUGGCGGACGGGUGAGUAAUGUCUGGGAAACUGCCUGAUGGAGGGGGAUAACUACUGGAAACGGUGGCUAAUACCGCAUAACGUCGCAAGACCAAAGAGGGGGACCUUCGGGCCUCUUGCCAUCAGAUGUGCCCAGAUGGGAUUAGCUAGUUGGUGAGGUAACGGCUCACCAAGGCGACGAUCCCUAGCUGGUCUGAGAGGAUGACCAGCCACACUGGAACUGAGACACGGUCCAGACUCCUACGGGAGGCAGCAGUGGGGAAUAUUGCACAAUGGGCGCAAGCCUGAUGCAGCCAUGCCGCGUGUAUGAAGAAGGCCUUCGGGUUGUAAAGUACUUUCAGCGGGGAGGAAGGUGUUGUGGUUAAUAACCGCAGCAAUUGACGUUACCCGCAGAAGAAGCACCGGCUAACUCCGUGCCAGCAGCCGCGGUAAUACGGAGGGUGCAAGCGUUAAUCGGAAUUACUGGGCGUAAAGCGCACGCAGGCGGUCUGUCAAGUCGGAUGUGAAAUCCCCGGGCUCAACCUGGGAACUGCAUUCGAAACUGGCAGGCUUGAGUCUUGUAGAGGGGGGUAGAAUUCCAGGUGUAGCGGUGAAAUGCGUAGAGAUCUGGAGGAAUACCGGUGGCGAAGGCGGCCCCCUGGACAAAGACUGACGCUCAGGUGCGAAAGCGUGGGGAGCAAACAGGAUUAGAUACCCUGGUAGUCCACGCCGUAAACGAUGUCUACUUGGAGGUUGUGCCCUUGAGGCGUGGCUUCCGGAGCUAACGCGUUAAGUAGACCGCCUGGGGAGUACGGCCGCAAGGUUAAAACUCAAAUGAAUUGACGGGGGCCCGCACAAGCGGUGGAGCAUGUGGUUUAAUUCGAUGCAACGCGAAGAACCUUACCUGGUCUUGACAUCCACAGAAGAAUCCAGAGAUGGAUUUGUGCCUUCGGGAACUGUGAGACAGGUGCUGCAUGGCUGUCGUCAGCUCGUGUUGUGAAAUGUUGGGUUAAGUCCCGCAACGAGCGCAACCCUUAUCCUUUGUUGCCAGCGAUUAGGUCGGGAACUCAAAGGAGACUGCCAGUGAUAAACUGGAGGAAGGUGGGGAUGACGUCAAGUCAUCAUGGCCCUUACGACCAGGGCUACACACGUGCUACAAUGGCGCAUACAAAGAGAAGCGACCUCGCGAGAGCAAGCGGACCUCAUAAAGUGCGUCGUAGUCCGGAUUGGAGUCUGCAACUCGACUCCAUGAAGUCGGAAUCGCUAGUAAUCGUGGAUCAGAAUGCCACGGUGAAUACGUUCCCGGGCCUUGUACACACCGCCCGUCACACCAUGGGAGUGGGUUGCAAAAGAAGUAGGUAGCUUAACCUUCGGGAGGGCGCUUACCACUUUGUGAUUCAUGACUGGGGUGAAGUCGUAACAAGGUAACCGUAGGGGAACCUGCGGUUGGAUCACCUCCUUACCUU